CUUUGAGAACAUCAUUUAUCUCCACGAUCUUGAGUGCAUCACCUGAUUACUUACACCAGGUUUUCUGCAGAAUUUGUUAAAAAAAAAUACAUGGUAAAUAUAGUAUUGAAAUUUCUCCUUACAAUUUCCACUGUGAUAAAAUGAAAAGAAAAUAAAGCAAAAGAGAAUUUCUAAUCUAUGAAUGAUUCCAUUAUCGGCUAAGAAAAUAUAAAACAUUUAGAUCUUCAUUACAGUUGACUGAUCUUGCCAUGAGAUUUUCUUCUGAACUCUUUUGCCAUUGAUUAUCCCAUUCUUGAGCUUCUUCUCAGCUCUCAACAAUUUCCCAACAUCCUCACUUUGCAUGGAUGAAUUUUGUGGUGGAGCUUGAUCUUGAUGUAGCUGAUGAUUAUGUGACCACAUAGCCAUUAAAUAUCUGUGCCUCUGUCUUAAAAAUCGAAUUUCAGUUGACAGAAUGUCUCUCUUCUGCUUUGUCAUCUGCAAUUUUUUCUUCUUUGAAACAAAUUCCUGAAACAAGAAAAAUCAUCAAAACUCAUCUGCAUGUAUGCCAAUACAAACAAAUAUCGGCCACUAGGCCCUAGAUAUCAAAAACCUUCUGUCAAUAUUGCAUCAAGCAACAUUGUCUGCUAACUUUUGGUAAGUUAUCCGUAACUUUGAAACCAAACAUACCACAGAUUUCACCAUCAAUUUCUGUUUUCUUUAACAUACAAAAGCAACCAUCAAAAUCAGCAAAUAGAGCUCUCAAUGAACCUACUUAGGACAUGUUUGUAACUUUUGCGGUUAAGAAAAGCAUCUCAUAUGUUAAUUCGAUAUGUUUUAGUAGUAAGAACUUAAAAAGUACUUAUUUUUGCAUCUCAAACAGAACCCAAAAGGGGCCUUAGAACAAACCGAGUAACAAAAAUCGACAGAGUGCUCAACGAACCUACUUAAUUACAACAAACACAAUGAUAACCAACCAGGCACACGUCAACAAGAACAUGCAAUUUCAAAACCCACUACCCUUAAACAUCAAAAACACACAUGAAUGAAUCGAUAACAGACCAAAAAACUCACCUUCUGCAAUUCUAAGAAAUCCUCAAGUAGGCUUUGAUGUUUCGAUUUAAAUCUAGCCUCCUCAAUGGAUUGAGAUGGACUCAUGUUAUGCUUCAAAAUUAGCCAAUUUAUUAUUUGUGGGUUUGGGAUAUGAGUCGAAAUUGAUCCUCCCCUUAAUACUCAAAUAAAAAAAAGAGCUUUAUUUACCUUACUAAAAAGAACUCCAAUUCUGAUAUGGAUUUGCAAAAAAUAUAAACAAAAAAUCAGAAAACUAAAUAGAGAAAUCAUAGUAAAACUCAAACCCAAUUCGACUUGAAAAGGAGUAAAUAGAAAGAAGAUAUCCGUGUAUCUUGUCUUGUCUUAGUCUGAAACUUGCUGACACAGGAACCCAAAAGCAGCCCCGUUGAGAAAGGGAAGAGCGAUGAAGAUGGGAUUGAAAAAAGGGCAUUCAUGGUAAGAUAAUCUUUUUUGGGUAUGUAUUCUGAAGAUAGAAAGAGAGUUGUGGUUGGAGGAAAAUUGGAGACAUAUAUCUAUCUAUAUGCUAUCUUCCUUAUAUAUAGAGAGAGAGAUAUGUUCCUCUUGGGUUUUGGUUUUUCUCUUGCUCUACGUAGAAUCUGGAGCAGCUGGGCCAUUUUAUAUAUUGAAGAUACAAAUAGAGGGAUAGUAAUCUGUAAGCAAAGGUGUAAACUUUGGUUCGCAGAUUGCGCAGAAAAGGUAGAAGAUAAAAUGGCCACUAUUUCUUGGUGGAUUUGCAGCUCUCUGUAAAGAAAUCUCGCAUGGGCUUGGCACCCCA
rnacentral:misc_RNA from 1 species